rnacentral:lncRNA from 1 species
AUGCAUCACUCGAUUUUUACGGAUGAUUCAAAGCCAGAAGUCAAACGCUGCACAACUUGCUGCACACUUUUCCACUGCCCCCUAUGCCCAACUUUCAAACCAACCAUCAACACGAAGCUUCAGUGCCACCUGGAAUCCCACAUAAAACAUUCCAUUACAUUUAAAGACAAAAAGAUAUGCAGGUGCAACCUCAGCUGCAGGGAUGGGGGACAUUAUCAUUGCCCCCUUUGUGGCAAAACGAUCAUCAGGAAGUCGGUUAUGGAUCUACACCUGAAGUCCUGCACAAACACGCAAGACAGUCCCUCCACCUCCGCUGCCGUCCAUACAUCCAACCAAAACCCCAUCACAGUCAAGACAGCCACCACCUCUCCAGCUCCGACUGCUCCUUCUCCCCAAGCUUCAACUGUUGUGUCUUCCUCUGCCGUCUCUGCUGCCCAGAGUAAAAGUACAACCGGUUUGAAAAACAGUUCCAAGUCUUAGUUUAAGUAACUAACUGGUUGCAAAAAUAAUAUAAUUGAAUAUAAAAUUAUUCCAACUUGGUGGCAUUUCAUUUUCCAUUAAACAGGGGCCACUUUACAACAUUGUGGCUGGAGUUGCCUGGCUGCGUAAGCAUGCAGGUUUGCUCAAGGGGAAGGUGGUCGAGCCUGCAUUUCCGAACAUGGACGCAAAAGAACAGCAGGAGCUCAUGGAAAGGAUACGUUCUUCAAGUGAUGAAGAAGAAAACUACCCCCUGCUCUUCACAUUUGACUUUCAGGAAGACAUGGAGGUCUUCCUUAACAUGGCAGCUGAGGAGGAUCUUCGGGUCAACGCCAUGUUUCUGGGUCGCUGGGUGGACAGCCAGUGACAUUGCUGUGUGUGUGUGUGUGUGUGUGUGUGUGUGUGUGUGUGUGUGUGUGUGUGUGUGUGUGUGUGUGUGUGUGUGUGUGUGUGUGUGUGUGUGUGUGUGUGUGUGUGUGUGUGUGUGUGCGUGUGUGUGUGUGUGUUGAGGUUCUGGGUUCAGUUAUCUGUUGAGUGUUCUUAAUAAAGUGUUAUAACGUUUACAAUGUAUUGAUUUUUUUUAUGACUUUACUUAUUCACUUUGGUUACACACAGAGCUAAGUUAAAACACAGACUUGAGUUUGUCGGAUUUAAAUAUGGGCAAAU